rnacentral:rRNA from 1 species
AUUGAACGCUGGCGGAAUGCUUUACACAUGCAAGUCGAACGGCAGCACGGGAGCUUGCUCCUGGUGGCGAGUGGCGAACGGGUGAGUAACAUAUCGGAACGUACCCAGUCGUGGGGGAUAACUAUCCGAAAGGAUAGCUAAUACCGCAUACGUCCUGAGGGAGAAAGCGGGGGCUCGCAAGACCUCGCGCGAUUGGAGCGGCCGAUAUCGGAUUAGCUAGUUGGUGGGGUAAAGGCUCACCAAGGCGACGAUCCGUAGCGGGUCUGAGAGGACGACCCGCCACACUGGAACUGAGACACGGUCCAGACUCCUACGGGAGGCAGCAGUGGGGAAUUUUGGACAAUGGGGGCAACCCUGAUCCAGCCAUUCCGCGUGAGUGAAGAAGGCCUUCGGGUUGUAAAGCUCUUUCAGCAGGAACGAAACGGUCGGCUUUAAUAAAGUCGGCUAAUGACGGUACCUGCAGAAGAAGCACCGGCUAACUACGUG